rnacentral:SRP_RNA from 1 species
GGUGGGCGCCUGUAGUCUCAGCUACCUGGGAGGCUGAGGCAGGAAAAUUGCUUGAACCUGGGAGGCGGAGGCAGUGAGCCGAGAUGACGCCACUGCACUCCAGCCUGGCGACAGAGUGAGACUCCAUCUCAAAAAAAAAAAAAAAAAAANNNNNNNNNNUUUUUUUUUUUUUUUUGAGAUGGAGUCUCACUCUGUCGCCAGGCUGGAGUGCAGUGGCGUCAUCUCGGCUCACUGCCUCCGCCUCCCAGGUUCAAGCAAUUUUCCUGCCUCAG